AAAAAAAUAGAUUUCUUUAAGGCCUGUGAAAGUGGUCAGGGCAGUGCUAAGAAAAGUUGUUGAAAUUCCGGACCGUUUCGUGUCUGGUAGGCGGCAUCGUUCCGUCUCAGUGUCCGCGGGUGGAAUCGCGAUUUGUGACGCGGACACAGGUGAGAGAAUCCUGCCUUUUCUGGUUUAUGCUGCUGCAAAUUCUCGGAAUACGGCACAACGCAGCCGCAGGAAGAAGAGGCAACGCGCGCGAGUUUGAUUCAUCCACAGCGCAACAGGAAUCACGGAAGAGCGUGCCAAUUAUUGUUACUCCGAAGCUGACGAAGAUCGAGCACCUGGUGGUGUGACUGGUGAGAGGACAGGCUAAAACGCUGAUCAGAUUGAGCGGAAAUACCCCACUGGGGUUUUUCCGUGGAGCCAAUUUCCAUCAUCGAGGUCCGGGAGGAUCGUGAUCGAGGCAGCGGUGCGACAAGGCGACGGGCGGAUUGCCGAUUCAUCGAGUGUGUUUCACUCGGCCGGCAGGACCAAGUCGGAGGAGAUUCGUUCGGGAACAAGCAGCCCUUCAGUGGAUCACUCGGAGGGACCCCAUCCAGUUACCAGGUCGCACUGGACGGCCAGAGGGGACUCCAGCGGAGUGAUUGCGAUGCGUGCGGGGGACCAGGAGCGAAUGUGGCAGCAGAAAAAUCGUGGCGAUGAGAAGUCCGCCAAGAAGGUAGUGUAGGGGGACGCCCCGAACACAAGGAGAAGGUACACAGAGUACAAGAAGAAACCGUGAGUAACCAAACCAAUGUCUAACUAGUAAGAAGAUGUAAAAGGAGAAGCAUAGAGAAAUCAGGGACAGGUAGGAAGA